UCCGUAGGUGAACCUGCGGAAGGAUCAUUACCGAGAGCCCCUCCUCUGCGCAGCAAUGCGUCGUCGAAGAGGCUAUUCUCACCACCCUUCUUUAUACGUACCUUUUGUUCUUCCUCGGCAGGGCAACCUGCCGGUGGAACCUCAUCGUGAACCUUUUGCAUCUAGCAUUACUUGUUCUGAUACCCUAAAUCGUUACAACUUUCAACAAUGGAUCUCUUGGCUCUGGCAUCGAUGAAGAACGCAGCGAAAUGCGAUAAGUAGUGUGAAUUGCAGAAUUCAGUGAAUCAUCGAAUCUUUGAACGCACAUUGCGCCCCUUGGUAUUCCAUGGGGCAUGCCUGUUCGAGCGUCAUCUACACCCUCAAGCACUGCUUGGUGAUGGGCGUCUGUCCCGCCUCCGCGCGCGGACUCGCCCCAAAGGCAUUGGCAGCGGUCCUGACCGCCUCUCGCGCAGCACAUUUGCGCUUCUCGAGGCGCCGGGGGCCUGCGUCCAUCAAGCCCAUCUUACCCUUUUUUGACCUCGAAUCAGGUAGGGAUACCCGCUGAACUUAAGCAUAUCAAUAAGGCGGGAGGGGAAGGUCGGACUGGCCAAGGGCACACAGGGGGGGAUA
rnacentral:rRNA from 1 species